rnacentral:tRNA from 1 species
GGUCCCAUCGUCUAUCGGUUAGGAUAUCAGGUUUUCAACCUGGAGAGAGGGGUUCGAUUCCCCUUGGGACUGCCA